rnacentral:rRNA from 1 species
UACGGAGGGGGCUAGCGUUGCUCGGAAUUACUGGGCGUAAAGCGCACGUAGGCGGCUUUGUAAGUUAGAGGUGAAAGCCCGGAGCUCAACUCCGGAAUUGCCUUUAAGACUGCAUCGCUCGAAUCAUGGAGAGGUGAGUGGAAUUCCGAGUGUAGAGGUGAAAUUCGUAGAUAUUCGGAAGAACACCAGUGGCGAAGGCGACUCACUGGACAUGUAUUGACGCUGAGGUGCGAAAGCGUGGGGAGCAAACAGG